rnacentral:rRNA from 1 species
GACCUCGGAUCAGGUGAGGAUACCCGCUGAAUUUAA